AUAAGCAAGUUCAAAGAAUGCGGUCAAAAAUGGACACAGAUGAGCAACUGUUCAAAAGGUACGACCUCAGUCAGUGGAUUUGAGCAUCAGCAUAGGAACUCUUUUCUGUUUCUGUAUGCCUCUCACGUGAUUUGGAAGUGCUACAUUUGUGUUAAUUUGGAUCAUGCCCCUUCCUGCCAAACUGUCUCCAGUACAGCUACCUGUAUAGGUAACCCUUCACAGUCACUGCAGUCUGUCAGGUGGGACUUGGAGUCUGGAUCUUCCUCCUGUGCCCAGGCAGCCAAGCUGUGCACUACCUGUGUUCUCUCUAAUUUCUCUCAAAGCAUCAUAAGGGAUGACAAGGACUGAGUUUUUCGUAAGGACUGGAACAAUUUCCCAGGGUUCUGAUCUCUGAACUUGAGGACCUUCAAACCUGUAGCUCCAUAUACCAAUGAUUUAAUUGCUAGUUUACACUGUGUUCUGGUGGGAAAAUACUCUCUUUAAAGCUGGAUACAGGGAGAGCAAGCAUAGAAGAGCCAUAAUUUCUAGGCUGCAUGUUAGGAUGCUCAGCAUAGAGGAAGGGACGUUUCUAUAGUUUGUUCUCAUUCUUCAGAUUUUUGCUGAGUAUUUUUGCUUGGAUUUAGGGGUGGGUGGGGGAGGCAUGUUUUGUAUAUUGUUUUCUUGAAAUUCAUAGUCUAAUGUAAAAUGCAUAAAUGAACUAGCAAGUCAAAACACAAGGUUGUCCCUUUCUCAUGCAGUCACAGCUUUGGUAUGUCAUCAAGCUCAUGC
rnacentral:lncRNA from 1 species